CCGGCGGGGCCUCAGUUCCCAAUCCAUUUGCCCUUCCGCCGCCGGCGCUGCGUCGGUGCUGCGGGGUUUCCCUUCCCUCCCUUCCGAGGGCUCGCCCCGCGCUCCCGGCCUGAGGGACCCACGCCGAGCUCGCGGCGUCGCGGGGGACCGGGGACGCGGGGCUACACAAGGACCCUGACGGAGUAUUCCGCUUGGGCAACCCGUACGUCGAGGACCGCUUGCCGCGGGGCUUCCAGAGGAGGCGCCUGCCCGCCGAGAACAAUCUGACUUAUGGUGAGCACUUGUUUCUGUACAUCUGAGACCCUGGGCCACAUGGUAUGAAUUUGACCUGUGUGGAACUGAAGAUUAAUAGGAGUUAACUGAAGUGAGCAAGGAUUUGGAGCUGUUUGGAGCCUGAGUGGCAGAUGAAACCAACUUCUUGGGGUACAAGUGUGAGUUGCACCCCGGAGGCUGCUGCAGCAGGAAGCCCGGACAGCACAUAGAGCACCUUCACCCCUGCGCAGCUGAGGGGAUCUCAGCUACGGGUAAGAAGAGUGCCCCUGCCUCGGGCAGGGUGCCUGCCUCCUCCGACUGGGGACUCUACUGGAAAUCAGGUACGUUUUGCGGCGUCAGGGUAGACAUUGAAGUGCGAGCUUUGGCAGGAUGCCACACCGCCCACUGCAGGGCAAUGAGACUUGGUAAAACAUCAUCUAUUUCCUCAUCGGAUCCUCAACAGUCUCGUGCCGUGAUUGGACACACAUCUGCACAGAGAUUAAAGCAGAGUGGAGAGGUCAAGGCCAUAUCCUCAAGAAGUGAUCAAGGAGCGAGAACACAGGUCCCCAAUCCCUGCGCGUGAACAGGCACUUGCCUAGGCAGACACCAGUCUCGAGCUUCCUCAGGCUGCGAGUUGUCUCACCCCAUUGUCCUGUCUGCUGCUAAAUGGAGCAGCUUUGUGGUUGAGGGAGCUCCUCCUAAGAAACUUAGUAAAUUUUAGUGAGUAGCUACUUCCCUCUUGAAAUGUGGACUGCUUCAUGCAUGAUACAGUUCUGGAUAUGGGACUGUAUAAUAAUGUCCUUAUUUUCGUACUAUUAUCUCCUUAUUAUUGAGUGACCUCGCCAGACUGAUAGAAUUGAGAGUUAGUUCAUGAAAGUACUUAAACAGUGCCUGGCCCGUAAUAAAUCUUGUUCAAUUCUCUGUUCCAAAACUUGAUAACUAUAGAAUUGAGACCAGUGUUUGGCCUUUUUUUGUCUGACUUUUAACAAGUAUUUCCUGCCUUCCCUCAUUCACUAACCCAUGCACGCUGGCUCAGUUCCCCAAACCUGCCUUCCUGCCUUGGCUCAUGCUGCCCCAAUGUCACCAUGGGUGGAAGUCACCGCUGUCCCUCAAGGGCAGUCUCUCAGCUCAGAUAUGUCCAUGGGCUUUUUUUCCUCCAAGCCAUACGUCUAACUAGUCAGUAUCCAAGCUGCUAUAGCCACUAGGUUGAGGAGGAAAACUAAAGCCAUCAGACAUAAAAAAUUAACUUCCUCCUUGGGGGUGGGGGAGAGGAGGGCAAAUUAGCACCAAUUUUCACCCCGAUCCAGGAGAUACUUGGGAAAAUCACUGAUACCCUAGUGCUUUAUAUCCUACACGCAGCGGUUGAAAGGAGGCUGAACCCUCCUUUCCAUGGACAAGACGGGGCUAGCAGCAUCCUCAGGUCCAUGAGAAAUAACCCCCGAGUGAAUACCUGAGCUGCGUGGGGUGUGUGGAGGCAUGGCCUCGCAGACUGGCUGACACCUCAGCAGUUUCCCAAGUUCCUGGGGGAAGGUCUUCACUGCAUCCCUGGUAGCAUAUGGAACUAGGGUUAAAAAGUUUCCAUUUUAAAUACCUCAACUUACAAGUCUCCAAGGAAGCAUGUGUGUAAGACGGAGAGAACAGAACCUCAAGAAUACCUCAGGCACUUAGGGAUUAGGCCUGCAGAGGCAGAAGCAGCAGCAGGCUUAUCAGUUGAGGAGGGCCGGAGAAGGGAUGCUUUGGGGUGGGGGCUGCAGCAGACAGUCCUGGGGACACUGGGGAAGUGUUGGAGCAGCAGGAGUCUCCAAAGCAACAGUUGGCUGGCUUAGCAAUCCAAAUAAAGAACGAGGAAUCAUACAACGCAGGUCAUGUCUCGAGGGCUGAUGGCACUUGGAAAAGUGGGAGUCACCAAUGCACAGUAUGACAGCUGGUACCAGUGCAUCCUGGGUGACUUUAUUUAAGAACCUCCAGUUGUAGGGAUUGAUCUCCUCCCAGUUGGCAAAGUGCAGUGGGGAUACCAUGUACCACUUAACAUCUGUUUUAACUUGGAUGACGAGGCCACUUUGGACUCCUUUGGCAGUGGAGACAGUAGGACCAUCUGAAUGCAAGGUCAUCGCUUCCUGUCCCAACCUUGGGCUCUGGGAUCCUCACAGGGGCUCCCUUGCUGGAGCACACGACCCAGGGCCCAGGCAGGCUGCUGCCUCAGGCGUGUGCUGCGCGGAGGGGACGCCCAGCGGGCUCUGCCUGCCCGCUCCUCAGCCUGGAGUUAGGCUCCGACAUCUUAGGGCUCAGUCUCCAGUCAGGACCCUGUAACUCCUAAGUUGUUCAGUAAACUGAGGCCAUAUCAGUCUCCACAGGACUCAGGAGAGCUCUUAGAUGCGCCUCAACUACAAGUUUCUUUCUCUAGUCUUAAACCAUCAGUGUACCUGCAGACCUGCAUCCGUUUAAACAUUUUAAAAAGUUCAAUAAAAUACAUAUAUGAACUUUACAGUCUUCGACUAGUGAUACAUUUGCAAUUUAUCAAAACUCAGAUCAAAAUGCUUCAAGGUCAAAAUUUUAGUUUUAUAAGGUGGAAAAAGCCAGGACAGGGUCCGUUGUCUUCUAGUUUUAAGUAUGAGGUGCAGUGGGAGCGCUGUCUGGCUCUAAUAGUUCAGAAUGGCCGCUGGCCAGAGACAGAAAUACCGUCUCAUCUCACGGACAGUGGAGAGGGGAGCAUUUGCUAAGCACCCACCUUCAACCCCUUCCUCGGCACACGCUCUGCUCUAGAU